rnacentral:rRNA from 1 species
GACAGAGGGUGCAAACGUUGUUCGGAAUUACUGGGCGUAAAGCGUGUGUAGGCGGCCACGUAAGUCGGAUGUGAAAGCCCCGGGCUCAACCCGGGAAGUGCACUCGAUACUGCGUGGCUUGAGUACUGGAGAGGUUGGUGGAAUUCCGGGUGUAGCGGUGGAAUGCGUAGAGAUCCGGAAGAACACCGGUGGCGAAGGCGGCCUGCUGGGCAGUGGCUGACACUGAGGCGCGACAGCGUGGGGAGCAAACAGG